GUGGGGCGUGCUUUCCAGGGCUGGACGUCUACGUGGGCCCAUCUAGGCCGAACUUGUAUGGUACCAGCCAACGCCUGUGUUGCAAUCUUUUCUUCGGAAAACAUCAAUAAAGGGCACAUGUAAAAAAGUUUAAAACCUAGAGACAUAAAAACAACAGAUUUAUACUAUGUGCCUCUAAACUACUUUGGAGUCUAGGUAAAAUUCUCUCCAGACUUAUCAGUGCGCCAGAAAGAAAGGUGGCUUAUAAUGGACCACGUGACCUUCAAUUUUCCCACCGAACGUUUUGCCUCUCCUGUAAUCCGGGAUUCAGGCGCUGUGAGAUGACGCCAUCGUCUCCGUGCCAACUGAUUCUUGGCUGAGAGGCUGAGCUCCUGAGCAGAAAGGAUAAACACCAAGAAUUAGUAUUGCUGGGCCAAAUAAAUACCUUGUGAUUCCUGUUGGAGGAAUAAUUGGGAUAUAAGCAGCUUGAAAAUGAAAAACAGAGAAGCCCUCAUUUCCUGACUACAUGUCAACUGUUCCAAAUGUCUUAAAG